rnacentral:rRNA from 1 species
AGCGAACGCUGGCGGCAGGCUUAACACAUGCAAGUCGAGCGGGCAUCCUUGUGGUGUCAGCGGCAGACGGGUGAGUAACGCGUGGGACGUGCCCUUCGGUUCGGAAUAACUCAGGGAAACUUGAGCUAAUACCGGAUACGUGCGAGAGCAGAAAGGUUUAUCUGCCGAAGGAUCGGCCCGCGUCUGAUUAGCUAGUUGGUGAGGUUACGGCUCACCAAGGCGACGAUCAGUAGCUGGUCUGAGAGGAUGAUCAGCCACACUGGGACUGAGACACGGCCCAGACUCCUACGGGAGGCAGCAGUGGGGAAUAUUGGACAAUGGGGGCAACCCUGAUCCAGCCAUGCCGCGUGAGUGAUGACGGCCUUAGGGUUGUAAAGCUCUUUUCUCCGGGACGAUAAUGACGGUACCGGAGGAAUAAGCCCCGGCUAACUUCGUG